rnacentral:rRNA from 1 species
AUUGAACGCUGGCGGCAGGCCUAACACAUGCAAGUCGAGCGGAUGAGUGGAGCGUGCGCCAUGAUUCAGCGGCGGACGGGUGAGUAAUGCCUAGGAAUCUGCCUGGUAGUGGGGGACAACGUUUCGAAAGGAACGCUAAUACCGCAUACGUCUUACGGGAGAAAGCAGGGGACCUUCGGGCCUUGCGCUAGCAGAUGAGCCUAGGUCGGAUUAGCUAGUUGGUGGGGUAAAGGCCUACCAAGGCGACGAUCCGUAACUGGUCUGAGAGGAUGAUCAGUCACGCGGGAACUGAGAAACGGUCCAGACUAGUAGGGGAGGAAUCAGUGGGGAACAUUGGAAAAUGGGCGGAAGCCUGAUCCAGCCGUGGCGCGUGGGUGAAGAAGGUCUUCGGAUUGUACAGCACUUUAAGUUGGGAGGAAGGGCAGUAAGUUAAUACCUUGCUGUUUUGACGUUACCAACAGAAUAAGCACCGGCUAACUUCGUGCCAGCCGCCGCCGUAAUAC